rnacentral:rRNA from 1 species
AACGAACGCUGGCGGCAUGCCUAACACAUGCAAGUCGAACGAUACCUUCGGGUCUAGUGGCGCACGGGUGCGUAACGCGUGGGAACCUGCCCUUAGGUUCGGAAUAACUCCCCGAAAGGGGUGCUAAUACCAGAUAAUUUCUUCGGACCAAAGAUUUAUCGCCUUUGGAUGGGCCCGCGUUGGAUUAGCUAGUUGGUAGGGUAAAAGCCUACCAAGGCGACGAUCCAUAGCUGGUCUGAGAGGAUGAUCAGCCACACUGGGACUGAGACACGGCCCAGACUCCUACGGGAGGCAGCAGUGGGGAAUAUUGGACAAUGGGCGAAAGCCUGAUCCAGCAAUGCCGCGUGAGUGAUGAAGGCCUUAGGGUUGUAAAGCUCUUUUACCCGGGAUGAUAAUGACAGUACCGGGAGAAUAAGCGCCGGCUAACUCCGUG